AGCCCUGAGGUGGAGAAUCCAUGUCGAAUUGCAAAUUCGAAGAAGCAGCUUCAAUCCUGCCGGGGCUU
ensembl:Mt_tRNA